rnacentral:rRNA from 1 species
AAUUCGAAGCAACGCGAAGAACCUUACCAGGUCUUGACAUCCCGAUGCUAUUUCUAGAGAUAGAAAGUUACUUCGGUACACCGGUGACAGGUGGUGCAUGGUUGUCGUCAGCUCGUGUCGUGAGAUGUUGGGUUAAGUCCCGCAACGAGCGCAACCCCUAUUGUUAGUUGCCAUCAUUCAGUUGGGCACUCUAGCGAGACUGCCGGUAAUAAACCGGAGGAAGGUGGGGAUGACGUCAAAUCAUCAUGCCCCUUAUGACCUGGGCUACACACGUGCUACAAUGGUUGGUACAACGAGUUGCGAGUCGGUGACGGCGAGCUAAUCUCUUAAAGCCAAUCUCAGUUCGGAUUGUAGGCUGCAACUCGCCUACAUGAAGUCGGAAUCGCUAGUAAUCGCGGAUCAGCACGCCGCGGUGAAUACGUUCCCGGGCCUU